rnacentral:rRNA from 1 species
GGGUUGUGAGGUUAAGCGACUAAGCGUACACGGUGGAUGCCCUGGCAGUCAGAGGCGAUGAAGGGCGUGCUAAUCUGCGAUAAGCGCCGGUAAGGUGAUAUGAACCGUUAUAACCGGCGAUACCCGAAUGGGGAAACCCAGUGUGACUCGUCACACUAUCAUUAACUGAAUCCAUAGGUUAAUGAGGCGAACCGGGGGAACUGAAACAUCUAAGUACCCCGAGGAAAAGAAAUCAACCGAGAUUCCCCCAGUAGCGGCGAGCGAACGGGGAGGAGCCCAGAGCCUGAAUCAGCAUGUGUGUUAGUGGAAGCGUCUGGAAAGGCGCGCGAUACAGGGUGACAGCCCCGUACACAAAAGCGCAUGUGCUGUGAGCUCGAUGAGUAGGGCGGGACACGUGGUAUCCUGUCUGAAUAUGGGGGGACCAUCCUCCAAGGCUAAAUACUCCUGACUGACCGAUAGUGAACCAGUACCGUGAGGGAAAGGCGAAAAGAACCCCGGCGAGGGGAGUGAAAAAGAACCUGAAACCGUGUACGUACAAGCAGUGGGAGCCCCACCACCAAAGCAUUCUCUGGUGUUGAAGGCCCUGCAAAGCAGCAUCGCGGUGGCGGAGCGUCGUUUGCGACGCCCAACGCACAAAACAAGCGGUGAGUGCUUUGGGGUGGGGUGACUGCGUACCUUUUGUAUAAUGGGUCAGCGACUUAUAUUCUGUAGCAAGGUUAACCGAAUAGGGGAGCCGGAGGGAAACCGAGUCUUAACCGGGCGUUAAGUUGCAGGGUAUAGACCCGAAACCCGGUGAUCUAGCCAUGGGCAGGUUGAAGGUUGGGUAACACUAACUGGAGGACCGAACCGACUAAUGUUGAAAAAUUAGCGGAUGACCUGUGGCUGGGGGUGAAAGGCCAAUCAAACCGGGAGAUAGCUGGUUCUCCCCGAAAGCUAUUUAGGUAGCGCCUCGUGAACUCAUCUCCGGGGGUAGAGCACUGUUUCGGCUAGGGGGCCAUCCCGGCUUACCAACCCGAUGCAAACUGCGAAUACCGGAGAAUGUUAUCACGGGAGACACACGGCGGGUGCUAACGUCCGUCGUGAAGAGGGAAACAACCCAGACCGCCAGCUAAGGUCCCAAAGUCAUGGUUAAGUGGGAAACGAUGUGGGAAGGCCCAGACAGCCAGGAUGUUGGCUUAGAAGCAGCCAUCAUUUAAAGAAAGCGUAAUAGCUCACUGGUCGAGUCGGCCUGCGCGGAAGAUGUAACGGGGCUAAACCAUGCACCGAAGCUGCGGCAGCGAACGUAUCACUUAAAGCGAUUCAGCGGGUUACGAUUGACGGAGCGAAGCGACGUCAAAGCGUAUACAAAGUCGAGUCGGUUUAAGGAUACGUUCGUUGGGUAGGGGAGCGUUCUGUAAGCCUGCGAAGGUGUCUCGUGAGGGAUGCUGGAGGUAUCAGAAGUGCGAAUGCUGACAUAAGUAACGAUAAAGCGGGUGAAAAGCCCGCUCGCCGGAAGACCAAGGGUUCCUGUCCAACGUUAAUCGGGGCAGGGUGAGUCGACCCCUAAGGCGAGGCCGAAAGGCGUAGUCGAUGGGAAACGGGUUAAUAUUCCCGUACUUGGUGUUACUGCGAAGGGGGGACGGAGAAGGCUAUGUUGGCCGGGCGACGGUUGUCCCGGUUUAAGCGUGUAGGUGUGUGUUCCAGGUAAAUCCGGUUCACUUUAACACUGAGGCGUGACGACGAGGCACUACGGUGCUGAAGCAACAAAUGCCCUGCUUCCAGGAAAAGCCUCUAAGCAUCAGGUAACAUCAAAUCGUACCCCAAACCGACACAGGUGGUCAGGUAGAGAAUACCAAGGCGCUUGAGAGAACUCGGGUGAAGGAACUAGGCAAAAUGGUGCCGUAACUUCGGGAGAAGGCACGCUGACACGUAGGUGAAGUGAUUUACUCAUGGAGCUGAAGUCAGUCGAAGAUACCAGCUGGCUGCAACUGUUUAUUAAAAACACAGCACUGUGCAAACACGAAAGUGGACGUAUACGGUGUGACGCCUGCCCGGUGCCGGAAGGUUAAUUGAUGGGGUCAGCGCAAGCGAAGCUCCUGAUCGAAGCCCCGGUAAACGGCGGCCGUAACUAUAACGGUCCUAAGGUAGCGAAAUUCCUUGUCGGGUAAGUUCCGACCUGCACGAAUGGCGUAAUGAUGGCCAGGCUGUCUCCACCCGAGACUCAGUGAAAUUGAACUCGCUGUGAAGAUGCAGUGUACCCGCGGCAAGACGGAAAGACCCCGUGAACCUUUACUAUAGCUUGACACUGAACAUUGAGCCUUGAUGUGUAGGAUAGGUGGGAGGCUUUGAAGUGUGGACGCCAGUCUGCAUGGAGCCGACCUUGAAAUACCACCCUUUAAUGUUUGAUGUUCUAACGUGGACCCGUAAUCCGGGUUGCGGACAGUGUCUGGUGGGUAGUUUGACUGGGGCGGUCUCCUCCUAAAGAGUAACGGAGGAGCACGAAGGUUGGCUAAUCCUGGUCGGACAUCAGGAGGUUAGUGCAAUGGCAUAAGCCAGCUUGACUGCGAGCGUGACGGCGCGAGCAGGUGCGAAAGCAGGUCAUAGUGAUCCGGUGGUUCUGAAUGGAAGGGCCAUCGCUCAACGGAUAAAAGGUACUCCGGGGAUAACAGGCUGAUACCGCCCAAGAGUUCAUAUCGACGGCGGUGUUUGGCACCUCGAUGUCGGCUCAUCACAUCCUGGGGCUGAAGUAGGUCCCAAGGGUAUGGCUGUUCGCCAUUUAAAGUGGUACGCGAGCUGGGUUUAGAACGUCGUGAGACAGUUCGGUCCCUAUCUGCCGUGGGCGCUGGAGAACUGAGGGGGGCUGCUCCUAGUACGAGAGGACCGGAGUGGACGCAUCACUGGUGUUCGGGUUGUCAUGCCAAUGGCACUGCCCGGUAGCUAAAUGCGGAAGAGAUAAGUGCUGAAAGCAUCUAAGCACGAAACUUGCCCCGAGAUGAGUUCUCCCUGAGACUUUAGGUCUCCUGAAGGAACGUUGAAGACGACGACGUUGAUAGGCCGGGUGUGUAAGCGCAGCGAUGCGUUGAGCUAACCGGUACUAAUGAACCGUGAGGCUUAACCUUACAACGCCGAAG